GGCAUUGAAUGCCCCAGAGGAGCCCGAAACCUCCCAGGCCUGGUGCAGGAAGGAGAGCCCUUCAGCGAGGAAGCUACACUUUUCACCAAGGAACUGGUUCUGCAGCGAGAGCUCCUGUGUCUAUUGAUUGUCUGAUUCCCGCUUCAUCUGCUGUUUGAUUUUUGUGGGCCUAACUUCUCCCAUUUGCUCAUGUAUGUCUAUAUUCCUAUAUCUAAUGUUUCUUAAAAGACAAAUCUGACUGUGUAGGUGCAUUUGUUUAAAAAAUAUAACUCCCCAUUGCCUCUGGGAUAAAGUCUUAUCUCAGUUUACAUAUAUUCUUGAUAACCUCUCCAACUUUAUGUCUCACCACUCCCACUCACUUCGUAAUUCAUGCCUUAUCAGAAUGGACCUGUUAUACUGGCAGUUCGCCAUAUAUACCAUUACAUUUUGUUUCUCCCAUCUCUCAGGUAGACUUACACUUUCGGCCCAGCACAUCAGUCAUCCCCCUUGCUUGCUUUCCUGUUCACUCCUGUUCUGGAAGGUGCAUCACCUUUUCUUGGAAGCCUUCCCUUGCUCUCCCAGGCUAGAUGAGAUAUCCUUCCAUCAGUUCCCACAGCACCCUGUGCAUAUAUCUAUUGUGCACUUACCAAUAGUAUACAAGGGAUCUAUGACCCAAGUCUCUCCCCACUAGCUUGUAAGCUCCUCACAGACAGGAACCAUGUUUUGUCUUUGUACUCUAGU
rnacentral:sRNA from 1 species